AUACGUAGGGAGCGAGCGUUGUCCGGAAUUACUGGGUGUAAAGGGAGCGUAGGCGGGAUUGCAAGUCAGAUGUGAAAUUUAUGGGCUUAACCCAUAACCUGCAUUUGAAACUGUAGUUCUUGAGUGAAGUAGAGGUAAGCGGAAUUCCUAGUGUAGCGGUGAAAUGCGUAGAUAUUAGGAGGAACAUCAGUGGCGAAGGCGGCUUACUGGGCUUUAACUGACGCUGAGGCUCGAAAGCGUGGGGAGC
rnacentral:rRNA from 1 species